GGUUCCAUAAUGUAGUGGGUUAGCAUGUCUGCUUUACACACAGAAGGUCCUGGGUUCGUGCCCGAGUGGAGCUA
rnacentral:tRNA from 1 species